CCUACGGGAGGCAGCAGUGAGGAAUAUUGGUCAAUGGGCUUACGCCUGAACCAGCCAAGUCGCGUGAGGGAAGACUGCCCUAUGGGUUGUAAACCUCUUUUGUCAGGGAGCAACGCCGGCUACGUGUAGCCGGACUGAGAGUACCUGAAGAAAAAGCAUCGGCUAACUCCGUGCCAGCAGCCGCGGUAAUACGGAGGAUGCGAGCGUUAUCCGGAUUUAUUGGGUUUAAAGGGUGCGUAGGCGGAAUGCCAAGUCAGCGGUAAAAUCGCGGGGCUCAACCUCGCUCUGCAGUUGAAACUGGCGUUCUUGAGUGGGAGAGAGGUAGGCGGAAUGCGUGGUGUAGGGGUGAAAUGCAUAGAGAUCACGAAGAAAUCCGAUUGCGAAGGAAGCAUACGGGCGCCCAACUGAAGCGGAGGCGCGAAGGCGUGGGUAUCGAACAGGAUUAGAUACCCUAGUAGUC
rnacentral:rRNA from 1 species